CUGUUACUCAGAUUUAUCAAUUUCUGUUGAUCUUUGAGCUCAUUGAUUGUUUUGUCUCUCAUCUCAUCUCCUGUUGAGCUUACUCAGUGAGUUAUCGCUUUGGCUUUUGUGGUGUUGGGGUUUUGGGGUUGUUUUGUGUUUUUCCAGUUUAAUUUCUACUGGCUCCUUUUUUACGUUUUCUAAUUCCUUGCCUAGUUUAUAAUACCAAAGAAGGACUCUUAGAAAUAAAACAGGCAAAACUAUGUAGUCCAAAGUCCUGGUACUCUGGUGGCUUAUCUUGGUAUUGGAAUAAAAAGCCUAAAGUAUCUAGAGAAAUGGAAGUCCUGUUAUCCACAGAUAUUUCUAAAAAUGGAUCUUAAAACUGAAGAUCUGCAGAUUAUUCAGGGUUAUAGUCUCCAAGAUUCGUGUGUAAAAUUUCCCAGCUCUGUAAGCCUUGUUGGAUAGAGCCCCAGAGGAGAAGGGGUCCCUCCUCUCCAGGGGUCACUCUUGCUCUUCGUGGUUGGACACAUCCCCCAAUCCCCAGCUUGUCUAGGACCUGUUCGAAUUUAGACCCUCACCGCUUGGUCUUUAACUUCUCCCUCUUAAUCCCUUUCUAUCCUCUUAAUCCAUGCCUGUGUUCCAGUCUCUAGUCUCACCCCCCGACACACACACUUCCUGCGCCACGUGCCCGGUGAGCUCCGCCCUCUCCUCUCGCCCAGACACACCCUGUGCAACAGUUCUGUCCGCUGUCUGGCCUCCACCACUGGCACCUGACUGAAGCGAGUCUCACAGAGUUCCCUCUUGUGCUCCCACGCCUCCCCCCGCCCCCAGCCUGUUAUUGGGCCUUUUACUGCUGCCCGCCUCUUUGACUUGAAGGCACUUUCCUGGUUUCUGUGACUUCCUGCCCCUCUUCAGAGGCCCUUUGUCUUCUUCCGUCUGUUAAACGGUUGUGCUUCUCAGGAUCCGUGCGUCGCCAUUGCUUUCUCACUGUGAGGGGAUCCCUGAGUGAGUUAACCCCCCGCCCCCGAGGCAUUUUACUGUCAGUGAUCACAGAGUUCCCUCACGUCCUUGUCUCCAGGUUGAAUGUUUCUCUCUGGUCAUCGUUCCACACCUUGUCGGUAUUCCUACCUACUGAGCCUGUGUGCGUGUGUCAUGCGGCCGUGACCGUCACCACGAGGAUGCACCCAUAAUGGUCCUGACGGCAAGCAGACGUGGUGUGUUCCCGUGUAUCAGUCAUCGUUUGCAGCGUUUGACACACAGCAACUCUUAGCCUUUGCGACAGGUCCGUGGUAGGUGACGUUCUCCCCAUUUGACAGAUCAGAAAACUGAGGCACAGAAGGGUUAAAACAUCUGCCCAAGGCUUCACAGUUGAUCAGGAAGUGCGGGACUGGGGAUUGGAGCCAGGUGGGCUGGCUGCAGAAGCCAUGCCCUGAGCACCUCGCCGCCUCCCAUAGGCCGGUCUGUGCACCACUGCGCCAUAGAGCGGGCCAUCACCGUUUGUCUGCAAGUUACCUUCUCGAGUGACGGUACAGGAGACAAACCACACUCACUUUUUAACGGCCGUAUAAUCUGUUGCAACUGUGCGGAGAGUAGAGACGAGGGGUUUGAGGUGGCGCAGAGGUAGACAACGGCUAAGGCAGGGGUUGGGGUUUGGGGUUGUGUGUGUGAGGUGCCCCACAUCUCCCUGAAGGUCACUGUCGUCUGCCUUCUUGCCCACGUCAGACACCUUGCAGCCAUUUUGUUCAUUUCUCCUUUCUCUCCCCCUUACAGAUCCUCAGUAUAUGUGUGUCUUCUAGUUCGGGUCCCUCUCAGUGCUCACACAGAGCUGUUUAUGCGGGGGACACAGUGUGUGGCAUGUGGCUCUUGAAGAGAAUCUGCACAGGCCUGUAUGGCCAGAUGGUUAAGGGCGUCAGGACCAUCCUGUUUCAGUGUUUUGCUAGCAAGACUCACAGGACUCCACAUUUUGUCAUACUCGGGGGCAGGCUGUGAUUGAUCACAGCAAACGCAGUCGAGGAGAGGCACCAGGAAUGGAGAAAGCCAGAGGCCAUCAGAGACAAGCUUCAAGAGUCCUGUUUCUGGGAAGGCACACGGGACACAUUUAACUUAAGCUCCGUUAAGGAGUUAAGACCAUGAUUUUAAAAGUUUACUAGGGGACGCCUGGGUGGCUCCGUUGGUUAAGCGUCUGACCCUUGAUUUCGGUCAGGUCAUGAUUUCCCGAUUCCUGAGUUCAAGCCCCACACUGGGCUCUGCACUGACAGCACAGACUGCUUGGGAUUUUCUCCCUCUCUCUGUCCUACCCCCACUUGCUCGCUCUCUCAACAUAAGUAAAUAAACACAUUUUAAAAAAUUCUAGGGAUGUUCAUCAGAGACCCUUGGUCUUUUGGAGAGAGAAUAUGUAUGUGCAAAAGCACACACCAAGUUCUAGCUUUCCAGAAGGAUAGCAGGUUCAGUGUGAGCCACAUUGUUUACACAAGAAACUUAGGCACUCUGAGCCAUUUGUUCCUGGAAGUGGUGGGAAACCUGCCAUCAUCCGAGGUCACAAACCCCGGCCAAGGGCAAACCCUGCAAGCUCAAAGGAUGGGAGUUCCCAGGCCUGCUGUGUAACUUCCUUACAGUGACUGAAAGGUACUAAAAUGCUGGUUAAAUUUCUGUACAUAAAGCAAAUACAGUUACUUUAAGAGUCACAACUUUGAAGGCUUAUAUAAGCAGAACCACUGUAACCAAAAAAAAUCACCAAGUCAGAGUAGAACUUGGAAACUAGCCAGGAUUUGGGGCGCCUGGGUGGCUCAGUUGGUUAAGC
rnacentral:lncRNA from 1 species